GUGAAUCAUCGAAUCUUUGAACGCAUAUUGCGCUCUCUGGUAUUCCGGGGGGUAUGCCUGUUUGAGGGUAAUUUAAAACAAUACUUAAACAAUUGUUUUGGGCAAAGGAAAUUAGUUCGCCGCGGUUAUAGCGUUAGCUUGGAAUAAGUGGUCAAGUCUCAUUUUAUUCGAGACGCGUAAUAAUAUUAUUUCGCGAACUCUUCAUUAUAUGACUAUCAAGUUUUGAUGCAUACAAAUGUAGUUUGUAGGCGAUCAAUACAAAUAUUUUGAACAUUACCU
rnacentral:misc_RNA from 1 species